rnacentral:rRNA from 1 species
CCUACGGGAGGCAGCAGUGGGGAAUAUUGGACAAUGGGCGAAAGCCUGAUCCAGCCAUGCCGCGUGUGUGAAGAAGGCCUUCGGGUUGUAAAGCACUUUCAGUGGGGAAGAAAGCCUUGGGGCUAAUACCCUCGAGGAAGGACAUCACCCACAGAAGAAGCACCGGCUAACUCCGUGCCAGCAGCCGCGGUAAUACGGAGGGUGCGAGCGUUAAUCGGAUUUACUGGGCGUAAAGCGCGCGUAGGCGGUCUGAUAAGCCGGUUGUGAAAGCCCCGGGCUCAACCUGGGAACGGCAUCCGGAACUGUCAGGCUAGAGUGCAGGAGAGGAAGGUAGAAUUCCCGGUGUAGCGGUGAAAUGCGUAGAGAUCGGGAGGAAUACCAGUGGCGAAGGCGGCCUUCUGGACUGACACUGACGCUGAGGUGCGAAAGCGUGGGUAGCAAACAGGAUUAGAUACCCGUGUAGUC